CUCAUAAAACCUUAAAUCCAGUGGGAGACGCAGACAAGAAACAAAUUAGCAGGAACCAGAAACAUACAUUCAGGAGGCAUGGAUCGUUCUUCAUUUGCAAUUUUAAUUGUUCCUGUAGAAAGCACUGGGAGACGUCGUGCCUGAACUGCGACAUUCGACCAGGACAUGGACAAGGAAGAUAAGAGAUGAAGCAACUUGUUCAAGUCUCUGGCCUAUCUCAGGAUGGAACAUGAAAAUUCUCCCACUCAGACCAAGGUGAUUUGCACAUCCCCUUCCUGCCCCAGUGACCUCCCGGCCCAGUGAAAUAAAACUUCAGCAGCCAGUCUGGCUGACAAGGACUCACUGUGCUCCUCUUUGUGGAAGAAGGGCUUUCCAGGAAACCACCAUGAAGUAAAACUUGGCUUCAAGGAACAGGAACACGAUACGCUGGCUGAGCGUGCGCAGACGCCCGAGGUAUAAACUGACAGUAAAGGUUCAGUGUGCAUCUGAAACUCUGUGGGCAUGGCGACCCCUCAGGCCAAUUUUCUUUUCAUUCCAAAGUCUUUAGCACUUCAUGUAAGGCAAGGAGUUUUCUAAGCUCCUCAGGAAAGAGGAGGAAAAUCUUGACUCCAACUUAAAAGAUCCUAUUCACGCAGCAGGAGCCAGCAUUUUGCUCUGAGCGUGGAGACCUUGCCUGAUGAGUGAGGGCAGAUGCCCUGCCCAGG